rnacentral:rRNA from 1 species
UACAGAGGUCUCAAGCGUUGUUCGGAUUCAUUGGGCGUAAAGGGUGCGUAGGCGGCGCGGUAAGUCGGGUGUGAAAUCUCGGGGCUUAACUCCGAAACUGCAUUCGAUACUGCCGUGCUUGAGGACUGGAGAGGAGACUGGAAUUUACGGUGUAGCGGUGAAAUGCGUAGAUAUCGUAAGGAAGACCAGUGGCGAAGGCGGGUCUCUGGACAGUUCCUGACGCUGAGGCACGAAGGCCAGGGGGAGCAAAACGGGG